rnacentral:lncRNA from 1 species
GUAUGUUUCUCUUAUUGAUUAUUAAAUAAAAUAAUGUUUGGCCAAUGAGACAGCAAGUUAGGAAUAGGAGUCAAAGAGGAUUCUGGGAAAUGUAGUAGAUUAAUGGUGAUCCAGGCAGGAAGUGACCUAGCAAGAGACUCAUAUUUAAAGAAAGAGAAACAGGAAGCGUCACUCUUUUCCCCUCGGCUCCUGCUCCAGCGGCACAAUGUGAUCCACCGGCAAGGAGGGAUGCCAAUAAGGCAUCCAAUAAGAUAAGUCUUAUAAAAUAUAUAGGUUUAUGAUAGUUAAGAUUGAACUAGCAGAUGAGAAUCCUAGUCAUUGGCCAAGUAGCUUUGAAUCUAAUACAUGUUUCUGUGUAUUCAUUUGGGCCUAACUCGGGCUGGCGUAAAGCUCACAUGCAGCGGUGGGGCUCAGGCGGCUUUUGGCAGAAAGAUUUAUCAUAACACCAGCCUCUUUUGGUCCCUUUGCUAUCCCAGUUCCUAGGGCUCGCCUGACAUUCAAAAGGUGCUCAGUAAACAUUGAUGCGUGGUUGGCUGAAUUAAUAAUAGAUGGACGUGAGGUUCACUGGCCAUCAGUCCGAGGUGUCAGGUACAGGGGCGCUCACUGAAAGGCUUUCUCUAACUGCUCCUUCCUCCUUUCUUCUUCAGCAACGUGAGGAUGUGGACUAUAGACCUGACUUCUGGGUCCCAGGCCUGAGAAGCUCUCAGAAUAUCAGCCAGUGCCAGAAAGCCUUUCCCCUAGUGGCUAAGCAACCCUCCAUUGCUCAUUCUGCUUUCUGCUCUCUUUAAAGGGGACAGUGUGACCAGAAGUGGCUGGUGGCCUUUGCAACAGCAGGGGGAUUUGGGAGAGGAUGUCCCAGAGUGCCUCCGUGGCUGUGAGAAAUGGCUGAAGCAUAAGCACAAGGAAGACAUUUUGGGGAACAUCAUCGUUCACCUCGGGAGUGAUGGGUGGUCGGCUGUGUGAAGAUGAAGCUCAGUAUCUCCUUCCCCACCAUCAGAACCACCAGAAACUCAAGCUUUGGACAUUCUGUGAGAAUCGCAUAGCCACAGAGGCACUGCCAAGGGGAAGAGCUUAGUGUGAGCCCUUGCUGAGGGCACUGGACUGAACCUCCAGGACCAAGCAAGUGAGAACUAGGCCGAACCUUCAAGACUGAUCAGGUAGGAACUGGGCUGAACCUCCAGGACUGAUCAGGUGGGAACUGGGCUGAACUUCCAAGACUGACCAGAUGGGAAAGGGAGAAAGCCAGCAGCUUUAAUUAUUCUGAUGAGAUUAACAACCUAAAUCUAAAACUCAUAUAGAAAUGCAAAUGGCUGAGAAUAGUCAACCAAGUCUUAACAAAACCAAAGGGUUCAUAUGACAAGAUCCAAAGACAAAUUAUGAAUAACCUAAGACAGUGUGAUACCACAUGCUGACAAAACCUGUGGACCUAGAAGCUGACCAGAAGCUACCCUUCCUAUCGUCAUCUUACUUACACCAGCAGUGUAGAGCAUUGAGGAAUGGUCCCUCCG